GGAGCCAAAGCCAGAAAGGGUGAGAAAGGAAACUUGGGAUUUAAAGGGGACCUUGGACCUCCUGGGCCGUUAGGUAAAAAAGGUUUUAAAGGACGUAAGGGUCCAAUGGGGCUACAUGGACUAGAGGGACAAAGAGGACCAAUGGGACUUCCUGGACCCACUGGGUCUGAUGGCAUUAUGGGGGAACAAGGGAGGCAGGGAAAAGAA